AUGGCAAUGAAGCAAGAGAUUGCUCAACUGAAGUGCGAUGCUUCCAAGAAGCGAGUUAGAGAUGCUACUCCUUCUUCCUCAACUCAAGUGGCUAAGCAGCAGAAGUAUUGGCUUCCUCCUCCUCCGUUCCGUCAGCCUUAUCAUCAGAAGAGCAAAGGUGGAAGUGGAUCUUCCCUCCCACCCAACCCUGGCUUUCAGAACAAGACUUCGUCUCAAGCUCCAAGAUCGAGUGCUCCGUAUCACCGUCCGCUUUCAGAGGUCACGUGUAACAAGUGCCAACAGAAGGGUCACUAUGCCAACAAAUGCUUCAAUCAGAGGCGUCUCCCUCCUCCUCCUCCUGUGAGAUCGGCAAGCACAGUUGUGGUCAAGCAUAACCCCAAGUACGCCAAGGUCAAUUUGAUGAAUGCAACUCAGGCAGAGGACUCGUCAGAUGUCAUCAUGGAGCCGGGAGACGAGUUCGCAAACGAGGAGCCCGUUGAGUUUGCUUACGAGGACCAAGUCAACUCUGACAACUUUGCAGGCAAGAUCAUCAUACCCUCG
rnacentral:rRNA from 1 species